rnacentral:rRNA from 1 species
GAUGAACGCUAGCGGCAGGCUUAAUACAUGCAAGUCGUGGGGCAGCAGGGGUGUAGCAAUACAUCUGCUGGCGACCGGCAAACGGGUGCGUAACACGUACGCAACCUUCCCGUUACUGUGGCAUAGCCCAGGGAAACUUGGAUUAAUACCACAUAUUAUAUUGAUGAGGCAUCUCAUUGAUAUCAAAGCUUCGGCGGUAACGGAUGGGCGUGCGGUUGAUUGGGUAGUUGGCGGGGUAACGGCCCACCAAGCCUACGAUCAAUAGCUGAUGUGAGAGCAUGAUCAGCCACACGGGCACUGAGACACGGGCCCGACUCCUACGGGAGGCAGCAGUAAGGAAUAUUGGGCAAUGGACGAAAGUCUGACCCAGCCAUGCCGCGUGAAGGAUUAAGGUCCUCUGGAUUGUAAACUUCUUUUCUCUGGGGCGAAAACCAGCUAUUCUUAGCUAUUUGACAGUACCAGAGGAAUAAGCACCGGCUAACUCCGUGCCAGCAGCCGCCGUAACAC